AUGGCGUUUUCCGCAUCGGCGGAUUCAUAGGGAAUCGGGUGAAAAUCCCGGACAGUCCCGCUGCUGUAACUCUUGUUAACGGUGUGCCAUGGAAGCCACUGCCUAUUAUGGUGGGAAGGCGGCAUAACCGGAGAGAAGUCAGAAGACCUGGCGCAU
rnacentral:ncRNA from 1 species